UGUGUCACCCAUACCUGUCGCUGGAAUUUCUCCCCGGGCAGAGAUGCCUCAGGACGGUCCCCCAGCUUCGCAACGAGGACGCUCCUUGCGGGGGUGCUGCUGGCUGCAUGGGAGACGAUUCCCCACCUCUGAUCAACUUCAGAAUUGUUUACCACUGGAGCAAGUGCCCUGAUAGUGUUUUGCUCUGUAUAACUGUGGAGUAAUAUUGCAUUGUGUACAUGGACCACUUCUUCUUGGUGCAUUCCUCUGUUGAUGGACAUUUUCGUUGCUUCCAAGUGUUGGCUAUGGUAAGUAUUGCUGGAGUGCAGGAUUGCCAGCCUGUGCCUUUUGAUUCUCAUUUUCUCAGGUAAUAGGCCCAGCAGUGGGUGUGACUGUUUGACUAGUAGCUCAAUGUUUCCUUUUUCAAAGCACCUCCAUUGUGUUUUCAUUAGUGCCACUUACCACGUCCCCCUUAGAACC